ensembl:snRNA U6 U6 spliceosomal RNA
GUGCUUGCUUUGGCAGCACAUAUUCUAAAGUUAGAACGAUACAGAGAAGAUUAACAUGACCCAUGCCCAAGGAUGACAUGCAGAUUCGUAAAGUGUUCCAUAGUUUU